rnacentral:tRNA from 1 species
UCCCUGGUGGUCCAGUAAGACUCUGUACUUCCAAUGCAAGGGGCCCAAGUUCAAUCCCUGGUCAGGGAA